rnacentral:SRP_RNA from 1 species
UAAUAAUGCCAUCGCGAUGUAUUACGAUGAACCAGGUCAGGACGGGAACGUAGCAGCCUUAAGUUGCUAAGACAUGUGCGGUGGUUUCUUAUUUAUG